GACGAACGCUGGCGGCGGGCCUAACACAUGCAAGUCGAACGGAAAGGCCCGGCUUUUGUGGGGAGCUCGGGUGGCGAACGGGUGAGUAACACGUGAGUAAGCUGCCCUUGACUUUGGGAUAACUUCAGAAAACUGGGGCCAAUACGGGGUAGGAGCUCCUGCCGCAUGGGGGGGGUUGGAAAGUUUCGGCGGUUGGGGAUGGACCCGCGGCUUAUCAGAUUGUUGGGGGGGUAGUGGCUUAGCAAGGCCUUGACGCGUAGCCGGGCUGGGAGGGUGACCUGCCACGUUGGGCCUGGGAUACGGCCCAGACUCCACCGGGACGCGGCGGUGGAGUGGAGUGCACAGUGGGCGGAACCCUGAUGCAGCAACGCCGCGCGCGGGAUGACGGCCUUCGGGUUGUAUACCGCUUUUGUCUGUGCCGAAGCGUGAGUGACGGUAAUGGGUAAAGAAGCACCGGCUAACUACGUG
rnacentral:rRNA from 1 species